GAUCCUGGCUCAGAGCGAACGCUGGCGGCAUGCUUAACACAUGCAAGUCGCACGGGCAGCAAUGUCAGUGGCGGACGGGUGAGUAACGCGUAGGAACGUGUCCUGAGGUGGGGGACAACCCCGGGAAACUGGGGCUAAUACCGCAUAUGGGCUGAGGCCCAAAGCCGAGAGGCGCCUUUGGAGCGGCCUGCGUCCGAUUAGGUAGUUGGUGGGGUAAAGGCCUACCAAGCCUGCGAUCGGUAGCUGGU
rnacentral:rRNA from 1 species